CCCACUAUCUAAAAUUAAAAUAACAAUGUUAAAUGUUAACAAAGACGGCUGUGAUUUUUGCUAUAUGAAGUACCUCCUUCUUAUUGGUCAAGUCACAUAUAUGUCAUGACGAAGAUCGGAAAUUGGCGUCGGACAUAUUGAUUUUUAAUGCCGAGAGGUCCGCGUGUCUUCGGCGCCGGCAACUAAAAUGUUCUGCUUUUUUAAUAGAAAGUGAAUUUUGUGUACACUGCUUUUUCGAAAAUUCUUGUUUAUGCAUCGCUCAGCCUCUCUAAAAAACGCGAUAUAAUACUACAUAUCAGCACACUGUCCGAAACGGCAAGAUGUUAUUACUUAACUCGAGGGUAGUUCCUAUGUUGUCCGGACGAUAUGGAUCAAAGUGUGACGCUCCAGAGCGCGACGCUCGAAUCUCUUCUUCCGAAGAGGAGACCCGGAUCACCUCCCAAACUUGAUGUUCUGCCUUACGAUGAUCUAUGUAGCAUGCAUAGGUACCUUAGUGGCCACCCUCUGGUUUACGAGCUAGGCAUUCUAAUGCUAGAGGCUUUGGCUGAAUACGCUUUGGCACUUAAGCUACGAGUCUUCUUCAUGCACGUAUUGCGUUGGACAUGAAGAAUUUUUUGUACUUCAUCUGCCUGACAUCGAUUUAUCGGUUGAGAUUCGGGAUGGAGAGGCUAGCAUAUCCCAGCUCAGCCUAAAACCAACUAAAGAUUUCGAUUUCGUGGCGCGUUUAAAUCAAAGAAGAUUCCAAAUGAAAUAUUGGAAGAUACGUGUGAUUGAUCCUAAAGAUUCUUCGAAUUCCCCCAGGCCCAGGCACCGUCGAAUAACUGGUUACAUGUUAAGUACCAACUUUAGAGGAUCGUCCGAUAUCCAGGGAGUUGGGGCAUUACCCAUGCCACCCAUGCCCAAGUGCAGCUUGACAUAACUGCUUUUUCAUCGUUUAUUGAUAACGUGACUGAAGAAAUACAGCCGAAAAGAUAUGGAUAAGAGGUAUACAUAUAUUUUGAAGCUUCUGGCUCUUUUCCUCCUCCUCUUCCUCAUCUUCAACAGGAUUCAGCAAAAAUUUCUCCUGCUCCUUCACAAUAUACCAAAAGGAAAAAGGUUGGUUCUACUGUAUAUUAUAUGUAUAGGCGUCUAUUUUUAUUCUGAUACUGUUGUAAAACUUUGAUAAUCUGUACAAAUUUUAGACUUUAAAAAUGCCAUUGUACUACAUUUUUGACACCAAGUAACAAUUUUAAUAUACUGACUACGCUGUCAUAAUAAUUAUGACAGAUAAAAUAGAGAUAUAAAAAUAAUUAUUAUUUUUAUAUCUGUAUUUUAUUUAAUAACUUUUGUAGUGUAUUUCUUAUGACAAGAUUAACACAGUUCUUUGGUAUAUUUUACUUGCGCAAAAGCGACGCUAUAAUGUGGCAAUAUGAAGACAUUGUUUUUUAAGGACAUCAAAAAUUUUGUUUUUAAUGUUCUUGCAGUUUACAGUCUAUUGCUUUCAACUGUGCAUAUGGUUUUUAAAUCUGACUAACAUUUUGCUAAUGUUAAUUUAUACAGUUCUAAUUCCAAUUUAAAUUGUUCAUACAUAGAAAGAAAUAUUUAAUAUAUACAUAUAUAGACUGUACUGUAGCAUAUCUAACAUUUUAUUAUCAUUAUUAAUUUUUUAAGUUUUUAAAAAUUAUAUAUACAGGGUGUCCCAGAAAUAAGUGCAAAUGUUUUAACUGGUAGUAUAGUUCAACCCUAAAAACACGCCUAUGAGGUUU
rnacentral:lncRNA from 1 species